rnacentral:rRNA from 1 species
AGCGUACACGGUGGAUGCCCUGGCAGUCAGAGGCGAUGAAGGACGUGCUAAUCUGCGAUAAGCGUCGGUAAGGUGAUAUGAACCGUUAUAACCGGCGAUUUCCGAAUGGGGAAACCCAGUGUGAUUCGUCACACUAUCAUUAACUGAAUCCAUAGGUUAAUGAGGCGAACCGGGGGAACUGAAACAUCUAAGUACCCCGAGGAAAAGAAAUCAACCGAGAUUCCCCCAGUAGCGGCGAGCGAACGGGGAGCAGCCCAGAGCCUGAAUCAGUGUGUGUGUUAGUGGAAGCGUCUGGAAAGGCGCGCGAUACAGGGUGACAGCCCCGUACACAAAAAUGCACAUGCUGUGAGCUCGAUGAGUAGGGCGGGACACGUGGUAUCCUGUCUGAAUAUGGGGGGACCAUCCUCCAAGGCUAAAUACUCCUGACUGACCGAUAGUGAACCAGUACCGUGAGGGAAAGGCGAAAAGAACCCCGGCGAGGGGAGUGAAAAAGAACCUGAAACCGUGUACGUACAAGCAGUGGGAGCACAGAGCAAUCUGUGUGACUGCGUACCUUUUGUAUAAUGGGUCAGCGACUUAUAUUCUGUAGCAAGGUUAACCGAAUAGGGGAGCCGAAGGGAAACCGAGUCUUAACUGGGCGUUAAGUUGCAGGGUAUAGACCCGAAACCCGGUGAUCUAGCCAUGGGCAGGUUGAAGGUUGGGUAACACUAACUGGAGGACCGAACCGACUAAUGUUGAAAAAUUAGCGGAUGACUUGUGGCUGGGGGUGAAAGGCCAAUCAAACCGGGAGAUAGCUGGUUCUCCCCGAAAGCUAUUUAGGUAGCGCCUCGUGAAUUCAUCUCCGGGGGUAGAGCACUGUUUCGGCAAGGGGGUCAUCCCGACUUACCAACCCGAUGCAAACUGCGAAUACCGGAGAAUGUUAUCACGGGAGACACACGGCGGGUGCUAACGUCCGUCGUGAAGAGGGAAACAACCCAGACCGCCAGCUAAGGUCCCAAAGUCAUGGUUAAGUGGGAAACGAUGUGGGAAGGCCCAGACAGCCAGGAUGUUGGCUUAGAAGCAGCCAUCAUUUAAAGAAAGCGUAAUAGCUCACUGGUCGAGUCGGCCUGCGCGGAAGAUGUAACGGGGCUAAACCAUGCACCGAAGCUGCGGCAGCGACGCUGAUGCGUUGUUGGGUAGGGGAGCGUUCUGUAAGCCUGCGAAGGUGUGCUGUGAGGCAUGCUGGAGGUAUCAGAAGUGCGAAUGCUGACAUAAGUAACGAUAAAGCGGGUGAAAAGCCCGCUCGCCGGAAGACCAAGGGUUCCUGUCCAACGUUAAUCGGGGCAGGGUGAGUCGACCCCUAAGGCGAGGCCGAAAGGCGUAGUCGAUGGGAAACAGGUUAAUAUUCCUGUACUUGGUGUUACUGCGAAGGGGGGACGGAGAAGGCUAUGUUGGCCGGGCGACGGUUGUCCCGGUUUAAGCGUGUAGGCUGGUUUUCCAGGCAAAUCCGGAAAAUCAAGGCUGAGGCGUGAUGACGAGGCACUACGGUGCUGAAGCAACAAAUGCCCUGCUUCCAGGAAAAGCCUCUAAGCAUCAGGUAACAUCAAAUCGUACCCCAAACCGACACAGGUGGUCAGGUAGAGAAUACCAAGGCGCUUGAGAGAACUCGGGUGAAGGAACUAGGCAAAAUGGUGCCGUAACUUCGGGAGAAGGCACGCUGAUAUGUAGGUGAAGCGACUUGCUCGUGGAGCUGAAAUCAGUCGAAGAUACCAGCUGGCUGCAACUGUUUAUUAAAAACACAGCACUGUGCAAACACGAAAGUGGACGUAUACGGUGUGACGCCUGCCCGGUGCCGGAAGGUUAAUUGAUGGGGUCAGCGCAAGCGAAGCUCUUGAUCGAAGCCCCGGUAAACGGCGGCCGUAACUAUAACGGUCCUAAGGUAGCGAAAUUCCUUGUCGGGUAAGUUCCGACCUGCACGAAUGGCGUAAUGAUGGCCAGGCUGUCUCCACCCGAGACUCAGUGAAAUUGAACUCGCUGUGAAGAUGCAGUGUACCCGCGGCAAGACGGAAAGACCCCGUGAACCUUUACUAUAGCUUGACACUGAACAUUGAGCCUUGAUGUGUAGGAUAGGUGGGAGGCUUUGAAGUGUGGACGCCAGUCUGCAUGGAGCCGACCUUGAAAUACCACCCUUUAAUGUUUGAUGUUCUAACGUUGACCCGUGAUCCGGGUUGCGGACAGUGUCUGGUGGGUAGUUUGACUGGGGCGGUCUCCUCCUAAAGAGUAACGGAGGAGCACGAAGGUUGGCUAAUCCUGGUCGGACAUCAGGAGGUUAGUGCAAUGGCAUAAGCCAGCUUGACUGCGAGCGUGACGGCGCGAGCAGGUGCGAAAGCAGGUCAUAGUGAUCCGGUGGUUCUGAAUGGAAGGGCCAUCGCUCAACGGAUAAAAGGUACUCCGGGGAUAACAGGCUGAUACCGCCCAAGAGUUCAUAUCGACGGCGGUGUUUGGCACCUCGAUGUCGGCUCAUCACAUCCUGGGGCUGAAGUAGGUCCCAAGGGUAUGGCUGUUCGCCAUUUAAAGUGGUACGCGAGCUGGGUUUAGAACGUCGUGAGACAGUUCGGUCCCUAUCUGCCGUGGGCGCUGGAGAACUGAGGGGGGCUGCUCCUAGUACGAGAGGACCGGAGUGGACGCAUCACUGGUGUUCGGGUUGUCAUGCCAAUGGCACUGCCCGGUAGCUAAAUGCGGAAGAGAUAAGUGCUGAAAGCAUCUAAGCACGAAACUUGCCCCGAGAUGAGUUCUCCCUGACUCCUUGA